GAUCAUGGCUCAGGAUGAACGCUAGCGACAGGCUUAACACAUGCAAGUCGAGGGGCAGCAUGAACUUAGCUUGCUAAGUUUGAUGGCGACCGGCGCACGGGUGAGUAACGCGUAUGCAACUUGCCUAUCAGAGGGGAAUAGCUCAUCGAAAGAUGAAUUAAUGCUCCAUAAAACAGGGGUUCCGCAUGGGAAUAUUUGUUAAAGAUUCAUCGCUGAUAGAUAGG
rnacentral:rRNA from 1 species